UCAAACUUGGUCAUUUAGAGGAAGUAAAAGUCGUAACAAGGUUUCCGUAGGUGAACCUGCGGAAGGAUCAUUACCGAGUUAGGGUCUCCUCCGUGAGGCCCGACCUCCCAACCCUGUGUCUAAUAAACCUGUUUGUGUUGCUUCGGCGGAACGGCAGCGACUUGACCCCCACACGGGGCGACGGUUGCCGUCGCCGGGGGAGUCACGGUCUCACGACCGCCCCUGGAGAGCGUCCGCCGACGGCCCCAACCAAAACAACUACCAAACCCAAAUUGUGAAUGUAACUUUUUCUGAAUCAGACCUUUUGAUAUACCAAUCAAAAACAAAACUUUCAACAACGGAUCUCUUGGUUCUGGCAUCGAUGAAGAACGCAGC
rnacentral:misc_RNA from 1 species